UCCCUGGUGGUCCAGUGGUUAGGACGCCACGCUCUCACUGCCAACGGCCUGGGUUCAACCCCUGGUUGGGGAA
rnacentral:tRNA from 1 species